rnacentral:rRNA from 1 species
AUGAUUGGCGGGGCGGGGCGGCCGCGGCAUGGCGGUGCGGUGGCGCGGCCGCGACGCAGGUUUGAAGUCGCUGGUGGCGAGGAGGAGGGGGAGGCCACGACGGCGGCGGCGGCGAGCGCGGGGUGCAGCUGCCGGUCGUGCGCGGCGGUGGCGGUGGCGGACUGCGUGGCGCUCGCGUGCUGCCCCUGCGCGGUGGUCAGCCUGCUCGGCCUGGCGCUCGUCAGGGCGCCGCUCGCCGUCGGCAGGCUGGUGAUCAGGGCCAGGCGGAGGCGGCGGGCGCUGCUGCGCGGCAAGCUGGUGCGCGACGUGGCCGCCCACGCCGCCCCGGCGCCGAGCGACGGCGGUGGCGCCCACGAGAAGGGCGCCGAGAAGGAGGCCGACGUCCGCACCGGCGUGGACGCCACGGGCGGCGAGGUUGGGACGGCGCGAGACGUCGAUGAUCACGAGGCGGAGCUGGCGUGGCUGGAGGAGAUGUACCGGACGGGGCGCUGGGGCUUCGGCCGCGUCUCCUUCUCGGCCAAAACCCCGUGA